rnacentral:sRNA from 1 species
CGCCAAGCCGGAGGCUCCGGAACACCCCGGAGCCCAGUGCACAACGGA